CCUACGGGGUGCAGCAGUGAAGAAUCUUUGUCAAUGGACGAGAGUCUGAACCAGCCAAGUAGCGUGAAGGCUGACUGCCCUAUGUGUUGUAAACUUCUUUUAUAUGGGACUCAAAUGUUCCACGUGUGGGAUUUUGUAUGUACCAUAUGAAUAAGGAUCGGCUAACUCCGGUCCAACAGCCGCGGUAAUAAGGAGGAUCCACUCGUUAUCCGGAUUUAUUGGGUUUAAGGGGAGCGUAGGUGGAUUGUUAAGUCAGUUGUGAAAGUUUGCGGAUCAACCGUAAAAGUGCAGUUGAAACUGGCAGUCUUGAGUACAGUAGAGGUGGGCGGAAGUCGUGGUGUAGCGGUGAAAUGCUUAGAUAUCACGAAGAACUCUGAUUGCGAAGGAAGUUCACUGGACUGCAACUGACACUGAGGCUCGAAAGUGUGGGUAUCAAACAGGAUUAGAUACCCUUGUAGUC
rnacentral:rRNA from 1 species